ACGAACGCUGGCGGCGUGCCUAAUACAUGCAAGUCGAGCGGAAUGAUGAAGAAGCUUGCUUCUUCUGAUUUUAGCGGCGGACGGGUGAGUAACACGUGGGCAACCUACCUUGUAGAUUGGGAUAACUCCGGGAAACCGGGGCUAAUACCGAAUAAUCCAUUUUGCUUCAUGGCGAGAUGUUGAAAGACGGUUUCGGCUGUCACUACAAGAUGGGCCCGCGGCGCAUUAGCUAGUUGGUAGGGUAAUGGCCUACCAAGGCGACGAUGCGUAGCCGACCUGAGAGGGUGAUCGGCCACACUGGGACUGAGACACGGCCCAGACUCCUACAGGAGGCAGCAGUAGGGAAUCUUCCACAAUGGACGAAAGUCUGAUGGAGCAACGCCGCGUGAGUGAAGAAGGUUUUCGGAUCGUAAAACUCUGUUGUAAGGGAAGAACACGUACGAGAGUAACUGCUCGUACCUUGACGGUACCUUAUUAGAAAGCCACGGCUAACUACGUG
rnacentral:rRNA from 1 species